rnacentral:rRNA from 1 species
GGUUAAGCGACUAAGCGUACACGGUGGAUGCCCUGGCAGUCAGAGGCGAUGAAGGACGUGCUAAUCUGCGAAAAGCGUCGGUAAGGUGAUAUGAACCGUUAUAGCCGGCGAUGUCCGAAUGGGGAAACCCAGUGUGAUUCGUCACACUAUCGUUAACUGAAUACAUAGGUUAACGAGGCGAACCGGGGGAACUGAAACAUCUAAGUACCCCGAGGAAAAGAAAUCAACCGAGAUUCCCCCAGUAGCGGCGAGCGAACGGGGAGCAGCCCAGAGUCUGAAUCAGCUUGUGUGUUAGUGGAACGGUCUGGAAAGUCCGACGGUACAGGGUGAUAGUCCCGUACACCAAAAUGCACAGGUUGUGAACUCGAAGAGUAGGGCGGGACACGUGGUAUCCUGUCUGAAUAUGGGGGGACCAUCCUCCAAGGCUAAAUACUCCUGACUGACCGAUAGUGAACCAGUACCGUGAGGGAAAGGCGAAAAGAACCCCGGCGAGGGGAGUGAAAAAGAACCUGAAACCGUGUACGUACAAGCAGUGGGAGCACCUUUAUGGUGUGACUGCGUACCUUUUGUAUAAUGGGUCAGCGACUUAUAUUCUGUAGCAAGGUUAACCGUAUAGGGGAGCCGCAGGGAAACCGAGUCUUAACUGGGCGUUAAGUUGCAGGGUAUAGACCCGAAACCCGGUGAUCUAGCCAUGGGCAGGUUGAAGGUUGGGUAACACUAACUGGAGGACCGAACCGACUAAUGUUGAAAAAUUAGCGGAUGACUUGUGGCUGGGGGUGAAAGGCCAAUCAAACCGGGAGAUAGCUGGUUCUCCCCGAAAGCUAUUUAGGUAGCGCCUCGUGAAUUCAUCUUCGGGGGUAGAGCACUGUUUCGGCUAGGGGGUCAUCCCGACUUACCAACCCGAUGCAAACUACGAAUACCGAAGAAUGUUAUCACGGGAGACACACGGCGGGUGCUAACGUCCGUCGUGAAGAGGGAAACAACCCAGACCGCCAGCUAAGGUCCCAAAGUCACAGUUAAGUGGGAAACGAUGUGGGAAGGCACAGACAGCCAGGAUGUUGGCUUAGAAGCAGCCAUCAUUUAAAGAAAGCGUAAUAGCUCACUGGUCGAGUCGGCCUGCGCGGAAGAUGUAACGGGGCUAAACUGUGCACCGAAGCUGCGGCAGCGACACUAUGUGUUGUUGGGUAGGGGAGCGUUCUGUAAGCCUGCGAAGGUGGCCUGUGAGGGUUGCUGGAGGUAUCAGAAGUGCGAAUGCUGACAUAAGUAACGAUAAUGCGGGUGAAAAGCCCGCACGCCGGAAGACCAAGGGUUCCUGUCCAACGUUAAUCGGGGCAGGGUGAGUCGACCCCUAAGGCGAGGCCGAAAGGCGUAGUCGAUGGGAAACAGGUUAAUAUUCCUGUACUUGGUGUUACUGCGAAGGGGGGACGGAGAAGGCUAUGUUAGCCGGGCGACGGUUGUCCCGGUUUAAGCAUGUAGGCGGAGGUUCCAGGUAAAUCCGGUACCUUAUUAACGCUGAGGUGUGAUGACGAGGCACUACGGUGCUGAAGUAACAAAUGCCCUGCUUCCAGGAAAAGCCUCUAAGCAUCAGGUAACAUCAAAUCGUACCCCAAACCGACACAGGUGGUCAGGUAGAGAAUACCAAGGCGCUUGAGAGAACUCGGGUGAAGGAACUAGGCAAAAUGGUGCCGUAACUUCGGGAGAAGGCACGCUGAUAGGUAGGUGAAGCCCCUGCGGGUGGAGCUGAAAUCAGUCGAAGAUACCAGCUGGCUGCAACUGUUUAUUAAAAACACAGCACUGUGCAAACACGAAAGUGGACGUAUACGGUGUGACGCCUGCCCGGUGCCGGAAGGUUAAUUGAUGGGGUUAUCCGUAAGGAGAAGCUCUUGAUCGAAGCCCCGGUAAACGGCGGCCGUAACUAUAACGGUCCUAAGGUAGCGAAAUUCCUUGUCGGGUAAGUUCCGACCUGCACGAAUGGCGUAAUGAUGGCCAGGCUGUCUCCACCCGAGACUCAGUGAAAUUGAACUCGCUGUGAAGAUGCAGUGUACCCGCGGCAAGACGGAAAGACCCCGUGAACCUUUACUAUAGCUUGACACUGAACAUUGAGCCUUGAUGUGUAGGAUAGGUGGGAGGCUUUGAAGCGUGGACGCCAGUCUGCGUGGAGCCAACCUUGAAAUACCACCCUUUAAUGUUUGAUGUUCUAACGUGGACCCGUAAUCCGGGUUGCGGACAGUGUCUGGUGGGUAGUUUGACUGGGGCGGUCUCCUCCCAAAGAGUAACGGAGGAGCACGAAGGUUAGCUAAUCCUGGUCGGACAUCAGGAGGUUAGUGCAAUGGCAUAAGCUAGCUUGACUGCGAGCGUGACGGCGCGAGCAGGUGCGAAAGCAGGUCAUAGUGAUCCGGUGGUUCUGAAUGGAAGGGCCAUCGCUCAACGGAUAAAAGGUACUCCGGGGAUAACAGGCUGAUACCGCCCAAGAGUUCAUAUCGACGGCGGUGUUUGGCACCUCGAUGUCGGCUCAUCACAUCCUGGGGCUGAAGUAGGUCCCAAGGGUAUGGCUGUUCGCCAUUUAAAGUGGUACGCGAGCUGGGUUUAGAACGUCGUGAGACAGUUCGGUCCCUAUCUGCCGUGGGCGCUGGAGAAUUGAGGGGGGCUGCUCCUAGUACGAGAGGACCGGAGUGGACGCAUCACUGGUGUUCGGGUUGUCAUGCCAAUGGCAUUGCCCGGUAGCUAAAUGCGGAAGAGAUAAGUGCUGAAAGCAUCUAAGCACGAAACUUGCCCCGAGAUGAGUUCUCCCUGAGACUUUAAGUCUCCUGAAGGAACGUUAAAGACGAUGACGUUGAUAGGUCGGGUGUGUAAGCGUAGCGAUACGUUGAGCUAACCGAUACUAAUGAACCGUGAGGCUUAACCUU